rnacentral:tRNA from 1 species
GCCUGGCUGGCUCAGUCGUUAGAGCAUGAAACUCUUGAUCUCAGGGUCAUGAGUUCGAGCCCUAUGUUGGGUC